UACGAAGGGGGCUAGCGUUGUUCGGAAUUACUGGGCGUAAAGCGUGCGCAGGCGGCUUCUCAAGUCAGGGGUGAAAGCCCAGAGCUCAACUCUGGAAUUGCCUUUGAGACUGAGUGGCUUGAAUACGAGAGAGGUGAGUGGAAUUCCCAGUGUAGAGGUGAAAUUCGUAGAUAUUGGGAAGAACACCGGUGGCGAAGGCGGCUCACUGGCUCGUAACUGACGCUCAUGCACGACAGCGUGGGGAUCAAACAGG
rnacentral:rRNA from 1 species